GUUCCCAUAGAUUAGUGGUUAGAUCGGAACGUUGUGGUCUAACACAUCCGUUCAAACGCGUGUUCGAAUCACGCUGGGGACA